GCCCAGGAGGCUGACCUUCCCAUUUAAGCAGAAUUCAGAGGUCUCGUUCAGCAGCUCUGAAGAAUUAGUUGCCCAGUGAGGGAAGUGGAUUUUGGAAAGUAGAAGUGAGAAGAAGAUCUGACCUCCCUUUCAAGCUUUGAAGGCUGAGCCAAGCGGAGGCGGUGGGUUUGGCUGGAGAUGAAGUCUCAGGAACAGCUGCCUCCACACUGAUGAGAGUCAGGCCUCUUCCCUCUCUGGCAUCAUCUUUGUAACCUAGCCACCCCUUCGACCCAAUCCAAUGGCUCCAGAUCAUCUUCUUCUCAAGAAAGUCACAUCCAACAGUCCCUG